GAUGAACGCUGGCGGCGUGCCUAAUACAUGCAAGUCGAGCGAACGGACGAGAAGCUUGCUUCUCUGAUGUUAGCGGCGGACGGGUGAGUAACACGUGGAUAACCUACCUAUAAGACUGGGAUAACUUCGGGAAACCGGAGCUAAUACCGGAUAAUAUUUUGAACCGCAUGGUUCAAAAGUGGAAGACGGUCUUGCUGUCACUUAUAGAUGGAUCCGCGCUGCAUUAGCUAGUUGGUAAGGUAACGGCUUACCAAGGCAACGAUGCAUAGCCGACCUGAGAGGGUGAUCAGCCACACUGGAACUGAGACACGGUCCAGACUCCUACGGGAGGCAGCAGUAGGGAAUCUUCCGCAAUGGGCGAAAGCCUGACGGAGCAACGCCGCGUGAGUGAUGAAGGUCUUCGGAUCGUAAAACUCUGUUAUUAGGGAAGAACAUAUGUGUAAGUAACUGUGCACAUCUUGACGGUACCUAAUCAGAAAGCCACGGCUAACUACGUG
rnacentral:rRNA from 1 species